rnacentral:rRNA from 1 species
GACGAACCGUCCAACCGUUAUUCGGAAUCACUGGGCUUACAGAGUUCGUAGGCGGUCCCAAAAGUUAGGUGUGAAAUCCCUCGGCUCAACCGAGGAACUGCGCUUAAAACUGUGGGACUCGAGGGAGAUAGAGGAAAGCGGAACUGAUGGUGGAGCGGUGAAAUGCGUUGAUAUCAUCAGGAACACCGGUGGCGAAGGCGGCUUUCUGGGUCUUACCUGACGCUGAGGAACGAAAGCUAGGGGAGCGAACGGG